ACUGAGGUCUACCCCAAUGGAGAUUUUUCUGUAGACCUACAUCAUUGGGAAUGCCUCAUAGAGUAAAUGCAUGGUUUCUUUUACUCACAGAAUUGUGUGAGUAAAUUAUGUGUUAGACCUGUGGGAAAGAACUAUAAGGCAGAG
ensembl:snoRNA